AUGUACCAUCCUCAAGUCCAUACAAUCGCUAUGAUCAAAGUUCAGUGGAUUCACUAAUGAGGACUCUCUAUGAUACUACAAAAUUAAAUCAAUGGAUUCCAUUCAUGACCUACUCAGGCAUUAGAGUUGAACAACCAGUAAAAAUUGAUGUGAAAGUUAUAGAUGAUGUCACUAAGCAAAUACUGUAUAUUAAUCACAUCUCCACAUGGGAUAGCUUCAAUCCUACUAGGAUUCAGGAGGCUUUUAACAGUAUCUUCCAAAAAAUA
rnacentral:sRNA from 1 species